GAGUGAUCAAGUGUCUUAAGGGCAUUUGGUGGAUGCCUUGGCAUGCACAGGCGAUGAAGGACGUGAUACGCUGCGAUAAGCGUCGGGGAGGUGCGAAUACCCUUUGAUCCGACGAUUUCCGAAUGGGGCAACCCACCUUAGAUGACUAGAAAAUCUGUUUUGUUGGAGCAACGCUGGAUGGGUUUACACCCAUACAGACCGCUAGGUCGUCGGCCCAUGUGGGCCGCCCCCGCGGAGCGCCAGCAUUCCUCUGGAAUGCGUACGGCGCGUGAGCGAGAACAGCACAGCUUUCUAGUCAUCAUAAAUAAGGUAUCUAACCUUGAAUACAUAGGGGUUAGAAGCGAACCUGGGGAACUGAAACAUCUAAGUACCCAGAGGAAAGGACAUCAAACGAGACUCCGCUAGUAGUGGCGAGCGAACGCGGACCAGGCCAGUGGCUUUUGUGAAUAAAGUGGAACGAGUUGGAAAACUCGACCGAAGUGGGUGAUAGUCCCGUACACGUAGAAUAGCAGAAGUCCUUGAGUAGGGCGGGACACGUGAAAUCCUGUCUGAACAUGGGUCGACCACGAUCCAAGCCUAAGUACUCGUGCAUGACCGAUAGCGAACCAGUACCGUGAGGGAAAGGUGAAAAGCACCCCGACGAGGGGAGUGAAACAGUACCUGAAACCGGAUGCCUACAAACAGUUGGAGCCCAAGGUUUGUCCUGGGUGACAGCGUACCUUUUGUAUAAUGGGUCAGCGACUUAGUGUAUCGAGCAAGCUUAAGCCGGUAGGUGUAGGCGCAGCGAAAGCGAGUCUGAACAGGGCGUUCAGUUCGAUGCAUUAGACCCGAAACCAAGUGAUCUAGCCAUGAGCAGGUUGAAGGUACGGUAACACGUACUGGAGGACCGAACCCAUAUCUGUUGCAAUAGAUCGGGAUGACUUGUGGCUAGGGGUGAAAGGCCAAUCAAACUUGGAGAUAGCUGGUUCUCCGCGAAAUCUAUUUAGGUAGAGCGUCGACCGAAUACCCC
rnacentral:rRNA from 1 species